AUGCCACCCCCCGCUCUCUGCGCCUCCUCCGCCGCGCGACUGCGACUGCUCCUGCACCAGCCGUCCACGGCGACGACCACCCCGUCUGCGCUCUUCCUCCGCGCAGCCGCUGCUUCUGCCGCCCUCGCGCCCGCGAGGCAGAGAUUAUUGUUCUCGACGACGGGCAUGGCGGCGGCCGCGGGAGCCAAGGCGUCGACGCAGCCGGCGGCGGGCGGGGGCGUGUCGGAGCUCAUCAUGCCGCAUCUCCUCAACAUAUACGGAUCGUGCGCCACGGCACGGGACUUCGAGAUGUACGCGCCCAAUGCCACAUUCGAGGACCCGCUCAUGCGCGCCCACGGCGUCAAGCAGAUCAAAUCAGCCUUCUACACCAUGCCUACGGUAUUCGGUGAGUCCAAGAUCGUAGAGUACACGAUAAAGGAAAACACGACCGGACCGGGGAAAUCCCAGAUACUGAUCGACAACAAGCAACACUACAAGGUCUUUGGCAAGGAUGUCGACCUGGAGUCCCUCAUCACGCCCGACGUCGAGGAUGGCAAGGUCGUCAGGCACCAGGACUGGUGGGACAAGAAGCCUCUCAAGAACAGGGAGACGGUGAGCUUCCCGCUGUUGGGACGGCUGGCGCAGACGAGCCGCCGGGGAGCCAUGCUGCUCACUCAUGUUCUCAUGGGCUUCGGCAAGGACCCCACCCCGUGA
rnacentral:rRNA from 1 species